GCUUCUAGUUUAAUGAGGGAGUCUUUUUGUCGAAGUGAACUUGUUUUUUUCCUCAGCAAAGCAUCCCUUCCUUAGAAGAACUAUCUUUUUCAUAUUAUGAUUCCCAGUGUGCUAGUAAAAUGUGCGCCUCUCUUCUCUUUCUUAGAGGUCGGCAUUGUGACCCUGGCUAAGUCUGUAAUAGAACCUGUUUUUCCUCAUGCAUAGUGAUUGAUCCAGGGUAGUCGUAUGUCCCAAAUAUUUUCAGUCAGGGUUUUUUUUUUCAUGAGAUAUGUCAUAUGAACAAUAGUGAAUCAGAUGGAUAUAGGUAUAGAGACUAUCUUUCCUUCCAUGUAGAAAAGCAAUGCUGAGAGAUGGAGAAAGAGCCCUUGAAAGACCAUGGAUCCUGCUACAUCUCAAGGUAACAGUGAAACAUAAGGAUAUCUCUGAGGAACACAGCAUUCAUUUACAUUUGAGAUAAACUGCUUCACUUAUGCACAUUGUGUAUGGCAUGCAUGAAGAUAAAAAUGUAAGUUUCUCCCAUAGGAGUUGAAAUUGCAAGCCUUGUAUAUCAAAACCAAUAAAGGUGCAUGGGUUUGUACCUGGAAACUGGCAGAACCAGAUCCAUCUCUCAGCACAGGUUCUCCCAAUUUCUUCUCUAUACUUUCUUUCCUGUACUUCCUCAGUGAGUUUGCUUAUUUUCCCUCUUCUUCCUUC
rnacentral:lncRNA from 1 species